rnacentral:rRNA from 1 species
GAUGAACGUUGGCGGCGUGCUUAACACAUGCCAGUCGAACGGUGAGGGCGGAACUUGCUCUGCUGGAUCAGUGGCGCACGGGUGAGCAACACGUGAGCAAUCUGCCCCUGACUCUGGGAUAAGCGCUGGAAACGGCGUCUAUUACAGGAUACGAGCUGCGCAGGCAUCUUCAGCAGCUGUGAAGGAGUGCGGUCAGGGAUGAGCUCGCGGCCUACCAGCUUGUUGGUGAGGUAAGGGCUCACCAAGGCUUCGACGGCUAGCCGGCCUGAGAGGGGGACCGGCCACACUGGGACUGAGAGAGGGCGCAGAAGCCUACGGUACGCAGCAGGCGGGAACAUUGCAGAAUGGGGGAGAGCCUGAGGCAGCAGCGCCGCGAGAGGGAAGACGUCUUUCGGGGUGUAAACCACUGUGAGCGGGGAAGAAGCGAAAGUGACGGUACCUGCAGAAAAAGCGCCGGCUAACUACGUG